ACUAAUUUGAUGAAUCAUUUUUCCUUUCCCAGGGACAAUAGAGGGAAAGUCAAGGCUUGGUCAUGAACAAUGUUCUUGAGAAUACUUCCAGGGGGAAAAAUGAAGCCUGCUUGGGCCCAAUCCACGGAACUGGGUAGCCAUACCCUCACCUGGUGAGCUGCUGCCAUUGCUCCAGUGCAAGAAAGGUAGCUGCACGGGAGUCCCUGAAACCCCCCCACUCUCCGAC
rnacentral:lncRNA from 1 species